AACGAACGCUGGCGGCAUGCCUAACACAUGCAAGUCGAACGAGACCUUCGGGUCUAGUGGCGCACGGGUGCGUAACGCGUGGGAACCUGCCCUUAGGUUCGGAAUAACUCCCCGAAAGGGGUGCUAAUACCGGAUAAUGUCUUCGGACCAAAGAGUUAUCGCCUUUGGAUGGGCCCGCGUUGGAUUAGCUAGUUGGUAGGGUAAAAGCCUACCAAGGCGACGAUCCAUAGCUGGUCUGAGAGGAUGAUCAGCCACACUGGGAAUGAGACACGGCCCAGACUCCUACGGGACGCAGCAGUGGGGAAUAUUGGACAAUGGGCGAAAGCCUGAUCCAGCAAUGCCGCGUGAGUGAUGAAGGCCUUAGGGUUGUAAAGCUCUUUUACCCGGGAUGAUAAUGACAGUACCGGGAGAAUAAGCUCCGGCUAACUACGUG
rnacentral:rRNA from 1 species